rnacentral:rRNA from 1 species
AAUAGAUACCCGGGUAGUCCACCCCGUAAACGUUGGGAACUAGUUGUGGGGUCCUUUCCACGGAUUCCGUGACGCAGCUAACGCAUUAAGUUCCCCGCCUGGGGAGUACGGCCGCAAGGCUAAAACUCAAAGGAAUUGACGGGGACCCGCACAAGCGGCGGAGCAUGCGGAUUAAUUCGAUGCAACGCGAAGAACCUUACCAAGGCUUGACAUACACCAGAACACCCUAGAAAUAGGGGACUCUUUGGACACUGGUGAACAGGUGGUGCAUGGUUGUCGUCAGCUCGUGUCGUGAGAUGUUGGGUUAAGUCCCGCAACGAGCGCAACCCUCGUUCUAUGUUGCCAGCACGUAAUGGUGGGAACUCAUGGGAUACUGCCGGGGUCAACUCGGAGGAAGGUGGGGAUGACGUCAAAUCAUCAUGCCCUUAUGUCUUGGGCUUCACGCAUGCUACAAUGGCCGGUACAAAGGGCUGCAAUACCGUGAGGUGGAGCGAAUCCCAAAAAGCCGGUCCAGUUCGGAUUGAGGUCUGCAACUCGACCUCA